UUAGCUCAUAUUUGUAUGGAAUGGGAUCGUUUGCGUACGUUUGCCGCUAGGGGCGCUGUUCCAACUGCAUACAAAAAUGGCUUA
rnacentral:pre_miRNA from 1 species